GACGAACGCUGGCGGCGUGCUUAACACAUGCAAGUCGAACGGACAGGCCCUGCUUUUGUUGGGUGCUCGAGUGGCGAACGGGUGAGUAACACGUGAGUAACCUGCCCUUGCCUUUGGGAUAACUUCAGGAAACUGGGGCUAAUACCGGAUAGGAGCUCCUGCUGCAUGGUGGGGGUUGGAAAGUUUCGGCGGUUGGGGAUGGACUCGCGGGUUAUCAGCUUGUUGGUGGGGUAGUGGCUUACCAAGGCUUUGACGGGUAGCCGGCCUGAGAGGGUGACCGGCCACAUUGGGACUGAGAUGCGGCCCGGACUCCUACGGGAGGCAGCAGUGAGGAAUAGUGCACAAUGGGCGGAAGCCUGAUGCAGCAACGCCGCGUGCGGGAGGACGGCCGUCAGGUUGUAAACCGCUUUCGCCUGUGACGAAGCGUGAGUGACGGUAAUGGGUAAAAAAGCACCGGCUAACUACGUG
rnacentral:rRNA from 1 species